GGUCGCAAGACUGAAACUCAAAGGAAUUGACGGGGGCCCGCACAAACGGUGGAGCAUGUGGUUUAAUUCGAUGCAACGCGAAGAACCUUACCGAGACUUGACAUCCCGUGUUGGCAUGUGAGAGCAUGUUUUAGGACUAUGUCAUACACGGAGACAGGUGGUGCAUGACAGUCGUCAGCUCGUGUCGUGAGAUGUUGGGUUAAGUCCCGCAACGAGCGCAACCCUUAUACCUAGUUGCCAGCAAGUGAUGUUGGGGACUCUAGGUAGACUGCCGGUGAAAGUCGGAGGAAGGUGGGGAUGACGUCAAGUCCUCAUGCCCUUUAUGUCUCGGGCUACACACGUGCUACAACGGCUGGAACAGAGGGAAGCGAAGCCGCGAGGUAUAGCCAAUCUCGAAAGCCAGUCUCAGUUCGGACUGCAGGCUGCAACUCGCAUGCAUGAAGUCGGAAUCGCUCCUACCGCAGGUCAGCAUACUGCGGUGAUACGUUCCCGGGCAUGUACACACCGCCCGUCACACCAACCGAGUUG
rnacentral:rRNA from 1 species